rnacentral:sRNA from 1 species
AAAAAUAAAUAACUACAAAAUUAUUGGU